CCAGAGUUAAAGAAUGUGGGUGGCCUCUAGAGGCUGGAAAAAGCAAAGAAAUGGAUUCUUCUCCGGAAAAGAAUGGAACCCUGCUGACACUUUAAUUAUAGCCCAGUGAGACCAAUGUUGGACUUCUGACCUACAGAACUGAACACAUCCAAUCUGCAUGCACAGCAGGCUGGAAGUUUCUGAGAGUCAGUGCACCUCAGACAGUUGUGAAUGGGAGUUGGAGCGUAAAUCUCCUGGUUUCUUACCUUUCAAAUGCUACAACUUUGAGUAAAUGGAAUCCCCAUCUACCAUCCAUAAGUGGGAAAGCUACGGCUCAUUGUGGACUCAUCCUCACAUUUCUUCACAGAGCUGACCAUUCAACAUCUUUUGCUAAUUUCGUCGUCUCUUUUUCAUUUGGGAACUCUAUUAUACUACUGGUAGAACACCAGCGAAGACAAGGACAAAAGCUGUCAAAGGCCGGCCUUAGAGGACCUUUGUUGCAAGAAAAGAAAAACUUCAUUGCGAAGUCAGCAGCUCCAAGGAGAGCCUGAGCCAAGAACAUAUUACUCCCUAAAUUUUGUCAAUCAAACAUCAGUCCAUAAAGGAAGAAAAUCGCAGAAAAUCUGUAAAAGG
rnacentral:lncRNA from 1 species